rnacentral:rRNA from 1 species
UACGUAGGGUGCGAGCGUUGUCCGGAAUUAUUGGGCGUAAAGAGCUCGUAGGCGGUUUGUCGCGUCUGCUGUGAAAACCUAAGGCUCAACCUUGGGCUUGCAGUGGGUACGGGCAGACUAGAGUGCGGUAGGGGUGACUGGAAUUCCUGGUGUAGCGGUGGAAUGCGCAGAUAUCAGGAGGAACACCGAUGGCGAAGGCAGGUCACUGGGCCGCAACUGACGCUGGAGGGAGCGGAAAAGCAUGGGGAGCGAACAGG